AUCACUUAUCGGUCUUUUGGCUAAAAUCCAGUAUCUGCUCUUAUCAGUUUAAUAUCUGAUACGUCUUCUAUCCAAGGACAAUCAUUUAAUAGAUUUUUGGAGCAAGGAGUUGGAACAGGAGCUUGCUCUGACCACUCCAUGCACUGACCUGGUGUUGCAGUACCUCCAGGAAUGGUGCACCCACU
rnacentral:snRNA from 1 species